rnacentral:rRNA from 1 species
UCAGGACGAACGCUGGCGGCGUGCUUAACACAUGCAAGUCGAACGGUGAAGCGGAGCUUGCUCUGCGGAUCAGUGGCGGACGGGUGAGUAACACGUGAGCAACCUACCCUUGACUCUGGGAUAACAGUUGGAAACAGCUGCUAAUACCGGAUAUGACCCUGGUGGACAUCCACUGGGGUGGAAAGCUCCGACGGUCAAGGAUGGGCUCGCGGCCUAUCAGCUUGUUGGUGAGGUAACGGCUCACCAAGGCGUCGACGGGUAGCCGGCCUGAGAGGGCGACCGGCCACACUGGGACUGAGAUACGGCCCAGACUCCUACGGGAGGCAGCAGUGGGGAAUAUUGCACAAUGGGCGAAAGCCUGAUGCAGCAACGCCGCGUGCGGGAUGACGGCCUUCGGGUUGUAAACCGCUUUCAGCAGGGACGAAGGGUUUCUGACGGUACCUGCAGAAGAAGCACCGGCUAACUACGUGCCAGCCGCCGC